UACGGAGGGGGCUAGCGUUGUUCGGAAUUACUGGGCGUAAAGCGCACGUAGGCGGCUUUGUAAGUUAGAGGUGAAAGCCCAGGGCUUAACCCUGGAAUUGCCUUUAAGACUGCAUCGCUAGAAUCGUGGAGAGGUGAGUGGAAUUCCGAGUGUAGAGGUGAAAUUCGUAGAUAUUCGGAAGAACACCAGUGGCGAAGGCGGCCUUCUGGACCAAUACUGACGCUCAUGCACGAAAGCGUGGGGAGCAAACAGG
rnacentral:rRNA from 1 species